rnacentral:rRNA from 1 species
UAAGGAAUAUUGGUCAAUGGGGGCAACCCUGAACCAGCCAUGCCGCGUGCAGGAAGACAGCCCUACGGGUCGUAAACUGCUUUUGUACGGGAACAAACCCCGCCUCGUGAGGCGGGCUGAGCGUACCGUAAGAAUAAGGAUCGGCUAACUCCGUGCCAGCAGCCGCGGUAAUACGGAGGAUCCGAGCGUUAUCCGGAUUUAUUGGGUUUAAAGGGAGCGUAGGCGGCCGGCUAAGUCAGGGGUGAAAGACGGUGGCUCAACCAUCGCAGUGCCUUUGAUACUGGCGGGCUUGAAUACACUUGAGGUAGGCGGAAUGUGGCAAGUAGCGGUGAAAUGCAUAGAUAUGCCACAGAACACCGAUUGCGAAGGCAGCUUACUAAAGUGUGAUUGACGCUGAGGCUCGAAAGCGUGGGGAUCAAACA